rnacentral:rRNA from 1 species
CCUACGGGAGGCAGCAGUGAGGAAUAUUGGUCAAUGGGCGCGAGCCUGAACCAGCCAAGUCGCGUGAGGGAAGACGGUUCUAUGGAUUGUAAACCUCUUUUGUCGGGGAGUAAACGCAGCUACGCGUGGCGUUCUGAGAGUAUCCUAAGAAAAAGCAUCGGCUAACUCCGUGCCAGCAGCCGCGGUAAUACGGAGGAUGCGAGCGUUAUCCGGAUUUAUUGGGUUUAAAGGGUGCGUAGGCGGAGGAUAAAGUUAGCGGUAAAAUUGGGAGGCUCAACCUCGUCGUGCCGUUGAAACUGGUUGUCUUGAGUGAACGAGAGGUAUGCGGAAUGCAUGGUGUAGCGGUGAAAUGCAUAGAGAUCACACAGAACACCGAUUGCGAAGGCAGCUUACC